rnacentral:misc_RNA from 1 species
AACGGUCGGCAGGCGAUCCGCGUCGGUCAAGCGAGAGGUGGUAUGGCUCCCCGUAGGCCGGUUCUUGUGCUGCCUACCCCUUGAGGGGAAGCGGGCCACUCGAUGUAAGCCUCCAUCCGGCGCCCUCCAACGGGCGCAGGAGGACAACGGAGCACCCCCCGCGUUCCACCGAGCCUCAGCCGGUCGCGUGGCGCGCGGGGACGUGCGAUGCUCUCGGACCCAGCGAACGCCGUGGGCGAGGACUCACGUCCCAGUCCCUAUAGAAGCUCCGACAAAAUGCAGACGGCCGCUCCCGACCCCGACCGCCCCGGCGGCGCGGGGGCGAGGCGCGGCGUCGCGGAGGAAUGCUACCU